GUGGGGAAUAUUGCACAAUGGGGGAAACCCUGAUGCAGCGACGCCGCGUGAGUGAUGAAGUAUUUCGGUAUGUAAAACUCUAUCAGCAGGGAAGAUAAUGACGGUACCUGACUAAGAAGCACCGGCUAAAUACGUGCCAGCAGCCGCGGUAAUACGUAUGGUGCAAGCGUUAUCCGGAUUUACUGGGUGUAAAGGGUGCGUAGGUGGUAUGGCAAGUCAGAAGUGAAAGGCUGGGGCUCAACCCCGGGACUGCUUUUGAAACUGUCAAACUAGAGUACAGGAGAGGAAAGCGGAAUUCCUAGUGUAGCGGUGAAAUGCGUAGAUAUUAGGAGGAACACCAGUGGCGAAGGCGGCUUUCUGGACUGAAACUGACACUGAGGCACGAAAGCGUGGGGAGCAAACAGGAUUAGAUACCCUUGUAGUCC
rnacentral:rRNA from 1 species